rnacentral:rRNA from 1 species
UUUACCGUGAAAAAAUUAGAGUGUUCAAAGCAGGCAGAUCCAAUUUUCUGCCACCGAAUACAUUAGCAUGGGAUAAUGGAAUAGGACCCUGUCCUCCUAUUUUCAGUUGGUUUUGGCAGCGCGAGGACUAGGGUAAUGAUUAAUAGGGAUAGUUGGGGGCAUUAAUAUUUAAUUGUCAGAGGUGAAAUUCUUGGAUUUAUGAAAGAUUAACUUCUGCGAAAGCAUCUGCCAAGGAUGUUUUCAUUAAUCAAGAACGAAAGUUAGGGGAUCGAAGACGAUCAGAUACCGUCGUAGUCUUAACCAUAAACGAUGCCGACCAGCGAUUAGGAGACGUUGAAUACAAAACACCACCAUCGGCGCGGUCGUCCUUGGCGUCUGUCCCUUUCAACGGGGGCAGGCGCGAGGGCGG